AAUAAUAAUAAUAAUAACAGAAUUUUUUUUUUUUAGUUCAAGUGAAAUGUUCAAACUCACCAGUUUUCUGAACCGUGACUGAGUCACUUUCUGUAAUGAUGAUAUUUUUCCCUUCAGCCCUGCAGGUGUACGUGCCUCCUUCAGACACAGAGAUCGUUCUGCCUGAUUCAUCAGUUAUUAUGGACUUUUCUUCAGAUGACGUUUGUCUGAACCACUCAUAUUUUAAGUCAGCAGAUUCCUUCACAUCACAGGUCAGUGUCACACUGCCCCCUGCUGGUAUGGUUGUGCUGUCUGCUGUUAGUACGGGCUUGUCAUGUACUGUAAGUUAGAAAUACAAAAAAAAAAAAAAAAAAAUCCCCCCAAAACAAGAGAACUAUUGUCACUGCAGGUUUAGUGAGAAUUUUAAAAAGACCAUUAUGUUUUACUAGAUUUGUAGCUCUGCAUCUGUUCACCACCACAGUCAAU
ensembl:lncRNA